rnacentral:rRNA from 1 species
AUUGAACGCUGGCGGCAUGCUUUACACAUGCAAGUCGAACGGCAGCGGGGGCUUCGGCCUGGCGGCGAGUGGCGAACGGGUGAGUAAUGCAUCGGAACGUGCCCAGUAGUGGGGGAUAACCCGGCGAAAGCCGGGGUAAUACCGCAUACGACCUGAGGGUGAAAGUGGGGGACCGAAAGACCUCGCGCUAGUGGAGCGGCCGAUGUCGGAUUAGCUAGUUGGUGGGGUAAAGGCUUACCAAGGCGACGAUCCGUAGCUGGUCUGAGAGGACGACCAGCCACACUGGGACUGAGACACGGCCCAGACUCCUACGGGAGGCAGCAGUGGGGAAUUUUGGACAAUGGGGGCAACCCUGAUCCAGCCAUGCCGCGUGCGGGAAGAAGGCCUUCGGGUUGUAAACCGCUUUUGUUCGGGAAGAAAUCCUCUGAGCUAAUACCCCGGGGGGAUGACGGUACCGGAAGAAUAAGCACCGGCUAACUACGUG